AGGAUGGCGACCGGCGCACGGGUGAGUAACACGUAUCCAACCUGCCGAUAACUCGGGGAUAGCCUUUCGAAAGAAAGAUUAAUACCCGAUGGCAUAAUAGAACCGCAUGGUUUGAUUAUUAAAGAAUUUCGGUUAUCGAUGGGGAUGCGUUCCAUUAGGUUGUUGGCGGGGUAACGGCCCACCAAGCCUUCGAUGGAUAGGGGUUCUGAGAGGAAGGUCCCCCACAUUGGAACUGAGACACGGUCCAAACUCCUACGGGAGGCAGCAUG
rnacentral:rRNA from 1 species